GUCAACUACGUGGCAGCAGCGUGGGUUAUGCGUAGGGUCCGGGCGUUGUCCGGAAUUAGUGGGCGUAAAGAGCUGUUAGGUGGUUUGGGGCGUUGUUCGUGAAAACUCACAGCUUAACUGUGGGCGUGCGGGCGAUACGGGCAGACUAGAGUACUGCAGGGGAGACUGGAAUUCCUGGUGUAGCGGUGGAAUGCGCAGAUAUCAGGAGGAACACCGGUGGCGAAGGCGGGUCUCUGGGCAGUAACUGACGCUGAGGAGCGAAAGCGUGGGGAGCGAACAGGAUUAGAUACCCCUGUAGUC
rnacentral:rRNA from 1 species